rnacentral:rRNA from 1 species
GGUUAAGCGACUAAGCGUACACGGUGGAUGCCCUGGCAGUCAGAGGCGAUGAAGGACGUGCUAAUCUGCGAAAAGCGCCGGCGAGGUGAUAUGAACCCUUGACCCGGCGAUGUCCGAAUGGGGAAACCCAGUGCAAUCCGUUGCACUAUCGUUAACUGAAUACAUAGGUUAACGAGGCGAACCGGGGGAACUGAAACAUCUAAGUACCCCGAGGAAAAGAAAUCAACCGAGAUUCCCCCAGUAGCGGCGAGCGAACGGGGAGCAGCCCGGAGUCUGAAUCAGCUUGUGUGUUAGUGGAACGGUCUGGAAAGUCCGACGGUACAGGGUGAUAGUCCCGUACACGAAAAUGCACAGGUUGUGAACUCGAAGAGUAGGGCGGGACACGUGGUAUCCUGUCUGAAUAUGGGGGGACCAUCCUCCAAGGCUAAAUACUCCUGACUGACCGAUAGUGAACCAGUACCGUGAGGGAAAGGCGAAAAGAACCCCGGCGAGGGGAGUGAAAAAGAACCUGAAACCGUGUACGUACAAGCAGUGGGAGCCUCUUUAUGGGGUGACUGCGUACCUUUUGUAUAAUGGGUCAGCGACUUAUAUUCUGUAGCAAGGUUAACCGUAUAGGGGAGCCGAAGGGAAACCGAGUCUUAACUGGGCGUUAAGUUGCAGGGUAUAGACCCGAAACCCGGUGAUCUAGCCAUGGGCAGGUUGAAGGUUGGGUAACACUAACUGGAGGACCGAACCGACUAAUGUUGAAAAAUUAGCGGAUGACCUGUGGCUGGGGGUGAAAGGCCAAUCAAACCGGGAGAUAGCUGGUUCUCCCCGAAAGCUAUUUAGGUAGCGCCUCGUGAACUCAUCUUCGGGGGUAGAGCACUGUUUCGGCUAGGGGGCCAUCCCGGCUUACCAACCCGAUGCAAACUACGAAUACCGAAGAAUGUUAUCACGGGAGACACACGGCGGGUGCUAACGUCCGUCGUGAAGAGGGAAACAACCCAGACCGCCAGCUAAGGUCCCAAAGUCAUGGUUAAGUGGGAAACGAUGUGGGAAGGCACAGACAGCCAGGAUGUUGGCUUAGAAGCAGCCAUCAUUUAAAGAAAGCGUAAUAGCUCACUGGUCGAGUCGGCCUGCGCGGAAGAUGUAACGGGGCUAAACCAUGCACCGAAGCUGCGGCAGCGACACUAUGUGUUGUUGGGUAGGGGAGCGUUCUGUAAGCCGUUGAAGGUGUGCUGUGAGGCAUGCUGGAGGUAUCAGAAGUGCGAAUGCUGACAUAAGUAACGAUAAAGCGGGUGAAAAGCCCGCUCGCCGGAAGACCAAGGGUUCCUGUCCAACGUUAAUCGGGGCAGGGUGAGUCGACCCCUAAGGCGAGGCCGAAAGGCGUAGUCGAUGGGAAACAGGUUAAUAUUCCUGUACUUGGUGUUACUGCGAAGGGGGGACGGAGAAGGCUAUGUCAGCCGGGCGACGGUUGUCCCGGUUUAAGCAUGUAGGCGGAGGUUCCAGGUAAAUCCGGUACCUUUUAACGCUGAGGUGUGAUGACGAGGCACUACGGUGCUGAAGUGAUAAAUGCCCUGCUUCCAGGAAAAGCCUCUAAGCAUCAGGUAACACGAAAUCGUACCCCAAACCGACACAGGUGGUCAGGUAGAGAAUACCAAGGCGCUUGAGAGAACUCGGGUGAAGGAACUAGGCAAAAUGGUGCCGUAACUUCGGGAGAAGGCACGCUGAUGUGUAGGUGAAGCCCCUGCGGGUGGAGCUGAAAUCAGUCGAAGAUACCAGCUGGCUGCAACUGUUUAUUAAAAACACAGCACUGUGCAAACACGAAAGUGGACGUAUACGGUGUGACGCCUGCCCGGUGCCGGAAGGUUAAUUGAUGGGGUUAGCGGCAACGCGAAGCUCUUGAUCGAAGCCCCGGUAAACGGCGGCCGUAACUAUAACGGUCCUAAGGUAGCGAAAUUCCUUGUCGGGUAAGUUCCGACCUGCACGAAUGGCGUAAUGAUGGCCAGGCUGUCUCCACCCGAGACUCAGUGAAAUUGAACUCGCUGUGAAGAUGCAGUGUACCCGCGGCAAGACGGAAAGACCCCGUGAACCUUUACUAUAGCUUGACACUGAACACUGGUCCUUGAUGUGUAGGAUAGGUGGGAGGCUUUGAAGCGUGGACGCCAGUCUGCGUGGAGCCAACCUUGAAAUACCACCCUUUAAUGGCUGGUGUUCUAACGUAGACCCGUAAUCCGGGUUGCGGACAGUGUCUGGUGGGUAGUUUGACUGGGGCGGUCUCCUCCCAAAGAGUAACGGAGGAGCACGAAGGUUGGCUAAUCCUGGUCGGACAUCAGGAGGUUAGUGCAAUGGCAUAAGCCAGCUUGACUGCGAGCGUGACGGCGCGAGCAGGUGCGAAAGCAGGUCAUAGUGAUCCGGUGGUUCUGAAUGGAAGGGCCAUCGCUCAACGGAUAAAAGGUACUCCGGGGAUAACAGGCUGAUACCGCCCAAGAGUUCAUAUCGACGGCGGUGUUUGGCACCUCGAUGUCGGCUCAUCACAUCCUGGGGCUGAAGUAGGUCCCAAGGGUAUGGCUGUUCGCCAUUUAAAGUGGUACGCGAGCUGGGUUUAGAACGUCGUGAGACAGUUCGGUCCCUAUCUGCCGUGGGCGCUGGAGAAUUGAGGGGGGCUGCUCCUAGUACGAGAGGACCGGAGUGGACGCAUCACUGGUGUUCGGGUUGUCAUGCCAAUGGCACUGCCCGGUAGCUAAAUGCGGAAGAGAUAAGUGCUGAAAGCAUCUAAGCACGAAACUUGCCCCGAGAUGAGUUCUCCCUGAGACUUUAAGUCUCCUGAAGGAACGUUGAAGACGACGACGUUGAUAGGUCGGGUGUGUAAGCGCAGCGAUGCGUUGAGCUAACCGAUACUAAUGAACCGUGAGGCUUAACCUU